rnacentral:rRNA from 1 species
AGAGUUUGAUCCUGGCUCAGAACGAACGCUGGCGGCAGGCUUAACGCAUGCAAGUCGAGCGCACUCUUCGGAGUGAGCGGCAGACGGGUGAGUAACACGUGGGAAUCUACCUAUCUCCAGGGAAUAACUCAGGGAAACUUGUGCUAAUACCCUAUACGCCCUUCGGGGGAAAGAUUUAUCGGAGAUAGAUGAGCCCGCGUUGGAUUAGCUAGUUGGUGGGGUAAUGGCCCACCAAGGCGACGAUCCAUAGCUGGUCUGAGAGGAUGAUCAGCCACACUGGGACUGAGACACGGCCCAGACUCCUACGGGAGGCAGCAGUGGGGAAUAUUGGACAAUGGGCGCAAGCCUGAUCCAGCCAUGCCGCGUGUGUGAUGAAGGCCUUAGGGUUGUAAAGCACUUUCACCGAUGAAGAUAAUGACGGUAGUCGGAGAAGAAGCCCCGGCUAACUUCGUGCCAGCAGCCGCGGUAAUACGAAGGGGGCUAGCGUUGUUCGGAAUUACUGGGCGUAAAGCGCGCGUAGGCGGAUUGGUCAGUUAGGGGUGAAAUCCCAGGGCUCAACCCUGGAACUGCCUUUAAUACUGCCGGUCUAGAGUAUGGAAGAGGUGAGUGGAAUUCCGAGUGUAGAGGUGAUAUUCGUAG